AAAAUGUGAUAGACGUAUUUUUCCUUACUGAAAUCUCGUGUUUAUUAGUGUUGAUAAAUGUGUCAGACCGUGGAAACGAGAGUAACUAAAGUUGUAGUAAACAUUGUAUCCGUAGUAAAAAGUUAUGAAUGAAAAAAGUAGUCCCGCAUUCCGAUGUCACGUGAUUGUCUCAAGCGGGAAAUGAAGUGGCCUCUAGGGUUCAUUACGCGUGUGCUACGUAUCGAAAAUAUGUCAUCACUUAUUUUAACACAUAUUGAUAAUAAAUAUUUAUACAUACUCUUAAAACUUUGGAGAUAAUGAACAUGUUAAUACGAGGUAUGAGAACAAAAAUGCUGG